GAAAAGUCUCUAUCGAGGUUAAAGGUACCCGUACCGCAAACCGACACAGGUGGGUGAGGAGAGUAUCCUAAGGCCCGCGAGAGAACUGUUGUUAAGGAACUCGGCAAAAUGACCCCGUAACUUAGGGCUAAGGGGUGCCACCAUCCGGUGGCCGCAGAGAAUAGGCCCAAGCGACUGUUUACCAAAAACAUAGGUUUCUGCUAAGUCG
rnacentral:rRNA from 1 species